UUUCCCUGCUCUAUCUGCUUUUGAACCCAAAAUAUCUCCAAGUGAUUAUAGUUGUGUUGUCUUAUGAGAAGCUGAGGGCAUGCUUAAAAGUGUAGCACUGGGCACCCCAAAAAUUCUGUCACUGUGGCUUUGCCUCCUCCCCCUGCAAAUUUUAAGCUAAUUGAGGUAUGUGCAGAAUCAAUGGGAGCUCUGAUUUCAUUCCAUGUUUAGCCUGAUGGCAUUCAAACCUUUAUCUCUCAGCAUGCCCAAAUCAGUAGACUUUAUCAGCUUUUUUGUUACAAGGACUGGAAAGACACUUACCACUUUUCUUAUUGCAUCAGGUCACCAUGUAGCAAGAAUAGGUGGUACAUGGAACAGAAGGAAAAAGCAAACAAAAAAGAGUGAAAACAUUACUUAGUGGAGAGAACACAUGCUGAGAAGCAAGUCCUGGAGAGCUUGGAGUCUGAUACAAAGACAGUGCAUUUUAAUUGAAAUGGUUGUUUUACCAAAGAUUAAGUCCAAGCACUCCCCAAACAAACAAAACCAGCCCAGUGGUAAUCUGAAAAUCCUGCUUUAAUCUUUGUUUUAUCUCAGUUUGACUAACACUUCUCUUCCUGAUCUGUUCAAUUUCUUCUCAGUGUUUUGGUUGUCAAAAUACAGAGAUGACAAAUGACUUCUUUGCAAAAAAGCCGGCAGAAAAUCUGUGUACGGCUGAUGCAUCGAGCAACAUGUGGGGAAUGUUAAUAGCUCUGUCACCCUCUCAGUUGGGAAAACACUUCUCAGAGGUGGUAAGGCUGCCCUCAGACCUUCCAGCACCGGAGUUCAGUGGCAGAGAGGAGCAUUUCCCACACCUAAAGUAGAUGGAGUCAUGAAGCACUUCAGGCAAAUGGAGGGAAAGGCUGAACACUGAGGGUGCUGGGACAGAUUGCAUCAAGGUUUCACAUAUGGUGCCACUCCACUGUCAACUGGGCAUUCCUGCUCAUGUCCCUCUUCUGCUUUUUGUGCAGGUUCCAUAAUUUCAUCUGCUGACACUUCCUUUCAUCGAGGCUCUUGAGCCACUUUUCAUGCCAGUUCUAUUUUAGGAUGAAUGGAGCCUGAUCACCCUGCUAAGUACCCCUCCUGGGUUCUACCUCCCCUGAUGCUGCAGAAAGAUACAAGGUCUUUCCUCUUUCUAAAAGACAAUGCUCUCCUGCCUGUUUUAAACUGGGAAGAGGACAGCUGCCUAAAGAUGACAUCAUUCCUUAGCUCUCCAAGGAAAGUGGUGUGGAGAUUCAUCAAAGAGCUGGCAGAGAUUAAAGAUCCAUUAUUUCCUGGGAUUGUUUGUACACAACCAAGUUGGAUAUGCAGUUGCCCUGUUAUGACUAACUAGAAAUGAAGGAACUGUAAAUUCACAAAAA